rnacentral:lncRNA from 7 species
GGACAAGACUCCAUGUUCCUUGAACCACAUGGCUGACAUGCUCCCCAGAUGCACUAAGGCCAUGUAACCUUCUCUUUCUGUGACCCAGCAUACUCUCUGCUUCAUUGCUGACCAUAACACCUUGUAACAUGGUCACCAGACAAGGACAGCUGAGAGGAAGAAAACUGACCACAGUGUUGUCUCAUUUCACAGUCCUUUCAGUGCCUAACACUAAUUUAAAACAGAGAUUACCUCCUGAGCAGUAUUCCAAGAGAGGUUUGCAUCCCAUUCUUUAGGCAAGGAGAAAGAAGAUGUAAGAGUGCUCUUAGUGCACACUAUAGACACUGUGGACAAAGAUUUCAGCAUUCACCUCACAGCUCCUCUAUCAGAUUGGAACAUGCUUCCACCUCUUUACAGCAAAGUCUCUUAGACACGUGACUAUAGAAUCUUCCAUAAUGAGAACCCUUUAGCUCUGUUGCUCUUCGCUACACAGAAAAGAGGUCAAAAUUCAAGAGAUUCUAAGUAUCUUGCAGGAUUUCUUGCCCUGGGAUGUUCCAAAGACCAGUGCCUUCUUCAAGAAUACUUACUUCAUUGUAUCAUCUAUCACUAUGGCACUAUGUGACACCAGGAGAGAUACUGCAACUGCUGUUUCAAUACCAAGAAAUCAUGUCAAAAUGAACAAACAAAUCAAAUGAAAAGGUUCUCCAGUGGUUCUUGUACCAAAAGAAGAGCCCUAUCCUUGCUCAGGUUUUGGAAGAUGAGAAGUGAGCAGUAUGAACUUGAAGAAUGAGCUUGAUCAGAGAGAGGCAUUUGCCUGUGAGCCAGAACCAGGCUCCUGCCAUCUGCACCCAGCGCAGCAUUGAUGCCAAGUGGAGGCUGUUUCCCUGUCCCUGGCUGAAGUCAUUGCAUUGAAGGGCCUAAAACUUCUGGGCACUCUAUAGGCAAUUGAUGGACAUGAUAUAAAUACUCUGUGUGAUUUAGGCUGCAUUAUGCCAAUUAUGUUAAUUCAUGGUCUGAUUUUCAGGAUCAAAACUGCAUAUGUCCUUCCAGUAAGGCUGUCUGUAAGGUCUAAUUCCAGGUUUUGAACCUUUCUCCAGAUGACUAGGGUCAUAAAUACAUAGCAUCAAGUUUCUAAUUCUACAAUAUUAAGUUCCUAAUACACUGCAAAGCUCUUGAAAAUGUUGUCUGUGGGUUUUGCUUAAUAUGUGAGACCUAUUUGAAAAUGCUGGCAAUAUGUUUACGCUUGAAUUACAUUCUCCUUCAUGAGUUGU